rnacentral:lncRNA from 1 species
GGAAGUUUUAUGCAAUAAUCAUAAAUAGUUUCUGAGAAAGUUUUAAGCAAUUACCAUUUAUUGCUUUUAAGACACGGCGGGACAUGUGAAACCACCCCACCCUGUUUUUUUUUACAAAUAUCACUAAAAUAAAAUUUUGAAUCAAACCAAAAAGUAUACAGAUCUUUAGAUUAAUAUAACAAAGAAGUGUGUACAGUUUCAAGCAAUAAUCAUAAAUUGUUUUUAAG